rnacentral:rRNA from 1 species
GUAGGUGGCAAGCGUUGUCCGGAAUUAUUGGGCGUAAAGCGCGCGCAGGUGGUUCUUUAAGUCUGAUGUGAAAGCCCCCGGGCUCAACCGGGGAGGGUCAUCGGAAACUGGGGAACUUGAGUGCAGGAGAGGAAAGUGGAAUUCCACGUGUAGCGGUGAAAUGCGUAGAUAUGUGGAGGAACACCAGUGGCGAAGGCGACUUUCUGGCCUGUAACUGACACUGAGGCGCGAAAGCGUGGGGAGCAAACAGGAUUAGAUACCCUGGUAGUCCACGCCGUAAACGAUGAGUGCUAAGUGUUGGGGGGUUUCCGCCCCUCAGUGCUGCAGCUAACGCAUUAAGCACUCCGCCUGGGGAGUACGGUCGCAAAGACUG